AAACCAUGAUGAGGGCACUAUCUUUGUAGACUCUUGAAUAUGCUCCAUGCUUCUAAUAAUGAUUCACCAUAUGUUUGAGCAAAAUUUAUGAUACAAUUCCUCAUAU